AUACUUACCUGGCAGGGGAGAUACCAUGAUCACAAAGGUGGUUUUCCCAAGGCGAGGCUCAUCCAUUGCACUCCGAAUGUGCUGACCCCUGCGAUUUCCACAAGUGUGGGAAACUCGACUGCAUGAUUUAUGGCGGUGGGAGACUGCAUCUGCGCUCUCCCC
rnacentral:snRNA from 1 species